AUGGCUUCGCCAAGUACUGCUGCUGUGUUGGCCGUGCUUGUCGUCGUGCUGUUGGGAAUGGGAUGCCCGGCCGCGGCGACAUGCAGCGACUGCGCGUCGCAGUGCAGCUUGUCGUGCAGCGCCCGCAACUUCCCAUGUAGCAGCGACUGCAGCCCGAUCCCGGCGUGCGUGGAGCACUGCAAGGCCACAGAGGUCCCAAAGUGCGUGGCCGGCUGCUCACAUAGCUGCAACAGGAGCUGCCCGAGCGGGGGGUGCAACUGCGCUACUGCCUGCGACGGCUGCCACAGCGGCGUCGAGAUCCAGUGCAAGAGGAACUGCACCAAUUCACAGUUGUGCAACGCCUGCAAGGACAACUACUCCCGUCAGUGCAACGCCUGCUGCACCUCCUACUGCAACAAAAACUGUGCCUGA
rnacentral:rRNA from 1 species